AGGUGGGCGUCGCCGCCGUCUAACUCGCAACCGGGUCGGGGGCUCCCGGAAGUGCUCUUGCGGAUUACUGCCUGGCACAGUGGGCUCCGUGGCUUAAGACUUGAACCAAGUAAACCAAGUUCUCUUACUGAGAAGUCUCAGUUUCAACUGUCAUUCUUCUCUACAGAAGAGCUUCUCCUCAUCAACUGGGGAUGAUUACAGUUCUUCCUAAAAAAGGAUGGCUGCUCUUUUUCUAAAGAGGUUAACACUACAAACUGUAAAGUCUGAAAAUAGUUGCAUUAGAUGUUUUGGUAAACACAUCGUGCAAAAGACAGCACCAACACAGUUGUCCCCUAUUGCUUCUGCCCCAAGACUCUCCUUCCUAAUUCAUGCAAAAGCCUUUAGUAACGCUGAAGACACCCAGAAUGAAGGAAAAAAGAAAAAAAAGAAUAAAACAGCUUUUAGUAACAUUGGAAGAAAAAUUAGUCAGCGAAUUAUUCACUUAUUUGAUGAGAAGGGCAAUGAUUUGGGAAACAUGCAUCGAGCAAAUGUGAUUAGACUUAUGGAUGAGCGACACCUGCGACUGGUUGAAAGGAACACCAGCACAGAACCUGCAGAGUACCAGCUCAUGACAGGACUGCAGAUCUUCCAGGAGCAGCAGAGGCUGAGGGAGAUGGAGAAGGCGAGCCCCAAAACUGGACCA
rnacentral:sRNA from 1 species